rfam:Scytonema millei VB511283 scaffold_58, whole genome shotgun sequence.
GUCAGCACCCCGCUCUAAAGAGACGGGGCUUCAUGCCCCCCCUCUCUAGAUAGCUGACCCGCUUAAGUCCUUAACUGGGCUACGUUAUCGGCAAGAGUUUAAGUUCGUACCUGCGAAUACGUGAUGCCAGUUCGCUGCUCUACAACCAAAUGGUUAACCAGUUUUACGAGGGGUAAGACAGUGCUGUUUGGAUAGUACCGACCGAUAACUUUAGCAAGGCUCACAUUAC